GUGCAAUUUUCUUAAUUUUUUUCCUUCACACUACCUCAUUGCAAACUGCGCUCCCCCGACAUCUUGAAAAAAGCUGAGAGUCCGGCCUCAAGUUGCUGUUUUGCUCCUGGACAAAACUGAAGGAAGGGAAGGACAUCGUAAAUGACUUCAAUUCGUCUCGCUGACGUCACUUUUGUGUGUGUGUGUGAAACGGCAUCUUGACUUCAUCCAGAGCUGACUGAGGAAUAAGACGACAGCGAAUGAGGCAGUCUGCUGGGUUUGAGCAUGCAGCAAAACAAGAUGGCUGACGUGACCAUUUUUUAACACAUUUUCUCUUUUGCAG